UGGGGGGGGGGAGAGGGGGGAGAGAGGGUUGAGGGUGGUAGGUCACUCAAGUCAGUGGUGACAAGAUGCUAGAUUAACCUAGAUUAACACCAUCAUAGAAUUUCAACUCCAACAACAUCCUUGCAAAUAUAUGCCCACUCAUGCAUGCAUCUGGAUCUAAAUAUUGAAUAAAACCACCAUUUACUUGCCAACAAAAAGCUAAAGAUAUUGACGCUAUUUU
rnacentral:misc_RNA from 1 species